UUUUAGGGAGACCUAAUCCAUUGAGAAAUCGAACACAAUCAGUAAUUAGAUUCCCAAUUGGUCUAUCCUAGGUCGGUCGAGAUUGGUAGAAAACUUUCAAAGUAUUAUUAUUGGUUCGGAUAGCGUAAAUAUACCAAAAUCCACAUUGGCAGAAAAGUCAGCAACUGAUGAAAAGUCAGACUGCUGGUUUAAAACCAGUCAGAACCUUGAAAACUGCAUAGGAAAGCGAAUUAGCAGGCAGAAACAGACAGACUGUGGAAGCAAAGAAAGGAUAGU
rnacentral:misc_RNA from 1 species